ensembl:rRNA 5S_rRNA 5S ribosomal RNA
UGCUGCUGUUUUACUCGCCCCAAAAGACUAAAAAUAGUAUUUUUGAUCUCGGAAGCUAAGCAGGGUCGGGCCUGGUUAGUACUUGGAUGGGAGACCACCUAGGAAGACCAGGUGCUGUAGGAG